GCCACUCUCACCUGCUCUGCUCCAGCCAGCUGCAGAUCAUUCCAGUAAUCAACCAACAGCCAGCUGCAGCUCACUCCAGUAAUCAACCAACAGUUAUCUACCCGGGCUGUUCACCUCUUCAGCGCCAGUUCGUUGCAACCAUUCCUGUGAUCCCGCCUCUGGACCUGCUGCUUUUCGGUUCUCAUCUGCCUCCUCGCUGCCUGCUCACCUCGCAACUCCGUUCUCAACCAGCCUUUCCACCCAGCUCUCGUCUUCGCUGCCUGGCCACACACCCGCCGUCUGAUCUCCAGCUUCGACUCCACCUGGAGCUGCUCUCCUGGCCAUUCCCUCCUGCACUAUCCACAUUGUGUCCAAUAAAACACUGCUAACCGCU